rnacentral:rRNA from 1 species
CCUACGUGAGGCAGCAGUAGGGAAUAUUGCUCAAUGGGGGAAACCCUGAAGCAGCAACGCCGCGUGGAGGAUGAAGGUUUUCGGAUUGUAAACUCCUUUUGUUAGAGAAGAUAAUGACGUUAUCUAACGAAUAAUCACCGGCUAACUCCGUUCCAGCAGCCGCGGGAAUACGGAGGGUGCAAGCGUUACUCGGAAUCACUGGGCGUAAAGAGCGCGUAGGCGGGAUAGCAAGUCAGAUGUGAAAUCCUAUGGCUUAACCAUAGAACUGCAUUUGAAACUGUUAUUCUAGAGUAUGGGAGAGGUAGGUGGAAUGCUUGGUGUAGGGGUAAAAUCCGUAGAGAUCAAGAGGAAUACUCAUUGCGAAGGCGACCUGCUAGAACAUAACUGACGCUGAUGCGCGAAAGCGUGGGGAGCAAACAGGAUUAGAUACCCUUGUAGUC